rnacentral:misc_RNA from 1 species
GAAAGACCAAAGGAUAAAAUUCAAUUAAUUCUUGCAAAACAGAAUGUAAUCAUCCAUCCUACAAACACCAGUCUUUUCUCAUUAUGAGGUUUGAGAAUCAAAAUUUAUAAACAUCACAAAGAUGAAAACUUUUGAAGCAGUAACUCCUCAGCCUAAAAUAACUAAAGUCGUCGUCAUCUACUUCUCGGAAGAGUUUGGUCCUCUCUUCUUUCCAAAGCCAACAACAGCAGUGACGAAUCUGCGAUUGUAUUGCAUACGCUUGUGUGCACGUCCUCUUGGCUUCUUCUUCUUAUCCUGCUUUGCAACCUUUGGUGUUUGCCCCCUAACCUUACCGGCACGAGCAAGUGAUCCGUGAACCUUACCCAUGGUUGAUUUCUGAGUCGCCGGUCGUCGGAGAAGCUGCUAAUCGUUU